UUAUCGGAAUGAGAACAAUUCAAAUCCUUUAACGAGGAUCUAGCGGAGGGCAAGUCUGGUGCCAGCAGCCGCGGUAAUUCCAGCUCCGCAGGUGUAUAUCUAUGCUGCUGCGGUUAAAAAGCUCGUAGUUGGAUCUGCGUGCUCGGAACUGGUUGGCUCACUGAGUUCAAACUGGUCUCCGGCGCUUUAUUGGCUGGUUUUCCCUUGAUGCUCUUAACCGGGUGUCUUGGGUGGCUAGCGCGUUUACUUUGAAAAAAUUAGAGUGCUCAAUACAGGCGUAAAGCCUUGAAUAGUGGUGCAUGGAAUAAUAGAAUAGGACCUCGGCUCUAUUUUGUUGGUUUUCGGAACGCGAGGUAAUGAUUAAGAGGGACAGACGGGGGCAUUCGUAUUGCGACGUUAGAGGUGAAAUUCUUGGAUCGUCGCAAGACGGACGACUGCGAAAGCAUUCGCCAAGAAUGUUUUCAUUAAUCAAGAACGAAAGUUAGAGAUUCGAAGGCGAUCAGAUACCGCCCUAGUUCUAACCGUAAACGAUGCCAACUAGCGAUUCGCAGGCGUUAAACAACGACCUUGCGGGCAGCUUCCCGGAAACGAAAGUGUUCGGGUUCCGGGGGAAGUAUGGUUGCAAAGCUGAAACUUAAAGGAAUUGACGGAAGGGCACCACCAGGAGUGGAGCCUGCGGCUUAAUUUGACCCAACACGGGAAAACUCACCCGGCCCGGACACCGUAAGGAUUGACAGAUUGAGAGCUCUUUCUUGAUUCGGUGGGUGGUGGUGCAUGGCCGUUCUUAGUUGGUGGAGCGAUUUGUCUGGUUUAUUCCGAUAACGAACGAGACUCUGGCCUACUAAAUAGUGGGCGGAUUCUUUCUGUCCGCGACACUUCUUAGAGGGACAAGCGGUGUUCAGCCGCACGAGAUUGAGCAAUAACAGGUCUGUGAUGCCCUUAGAUGUCCGGGGCUGCACGCGCGCUACACUGAAGGAAUCAGCGUGCUUUCUGACCUUGCCCGAAAGGGCUGGGUAACCCGAUGAAAAUCCUUCGUGAUUGGGAUAGGGACUUGCAAUUAUUUCCCUUGAACGAGGAAUUCCCAGUAAGUGUGGGUCAUAAGCUCGCGUUGAUUACGUCCCUGCCCUUUGUACACACCGCCCGUCGCUGCCCGGAACUGAGCCGUUUCGAGAAGAACAGGGACCGUCGUUGAAGGGCCUUAACGGGCUUUUCUCUGAUAGAAACUGUU
rnacentral:rRNA from 1 species